ACUUAACCUCAGGUGUUGGGUCCACGUCACUAGGUUAUGAUUAAGAACUUCCAAGUUUGAAACAUGUUAACCUGUGGUGGAGGGUGGUGAAGAUUGAAGCAUGUACUGUUAUGCCGAUCUACAAUAAAGAUGACCAAUACUGACGGAUGCUGGAGAAUAUUCCUUUAUUUUUCUGAUUGCCAUCACCCGAUCU